rnacentral:rRNA from 1 species
AUUGAACGCUGGCGGCAUGCUUUACACAUGCAAGUCGAACGGUAACAGGUUAAGCUGACGAGUGGCGAACGGGUGAGUAAUGCAUCGGAACGUGCCCGAUCGUGGGGGAUAACGCAGCGAAAGCUGCGCUAAUACCGCAUACGAUCUGAGGAUGAAAGCGGGGGACCGUAAGGCCUCGCGCGAUCGGAGCGGCCGAUGUCAGAUUAGGUAGUUGGUGGGGUAAAGGCUCACCAAGCCAACGAUCUGUAGCUGGUCUGAGAGGACGACCAGCCACACUGGGACUGAGACACGGCCCAGACUCCUACGGGAGGCAGCAGUGGGGAACUUUGGACAAGGGGCGAAAGCCUGAUCCAGCAAUGCCGCGUGCAGGAAGAAGGCCUUCGGGUUGUAAACUGCUUUUGUACGGAGCGAAAAGGUCUCCUCUAAUACAGGGGGCUCAUGACGGUACCGUAAGAAUAAGCACCGGCUAACUACGUGCCAGCAGCCGCGGUAA